ensembl:lncRNA
GGACAGGGAGUGACGACACACAGAGCAACUCCAGCACGAAAACAAAACCCUGCAUUAAAAAACAACUGUGAACAGCGACGGUGUGCAUUGCUCUUCACGGAACUCUCUGUUCUUCAUAAUUUUAAUAUGACAGCCAGACCUAUACCGUGGGUGAAUGAAGUGGUCGAGACUUUUCUGUCUAUGGUGGCGGACCAAAGAAUACAGAGGGAGCUAGACGGAGAAAGUUUAUCAGGAGGUCUCUGAGUGGAUGGCCGCUCACAUAUACAGUAGACUAUAUAAAGAGGACAAUGAAGCAGCGUAGGGAGAAGCUGAAAAAGCUCAAAAGUGACUAUCGGUCUACCAAGGACCACAACGGCCGGCGUGGGCCAACCAGAAGGUGUUGGAAGAGGUUUAAUGACCGCUAUUUACUGGCACCGCCAGCAGCAGGAGGGAGACACAGCCGCUGCAUUGUUGGAGACGUUCGAGGACGAAUCCCUUUCCACAUGCGAAGCCUACUCCACCUCCGUCAUGGAGCUCCCAGCUCCCCUGCCUCCUCUCCACCACCAGCAGCGGCUCCUCUCCAGCACCAGCUUCGACACCAGUACCAGCUCGGACACCGACCCUGUCAACAUCAGCCUCCAGCACGUCACAGCAACGUCUUAUCACUGGCAAGAGGAAAAGGGGCCACAGAAUAUUGGACCUUCCAAGCGUACUUGUGGAGAUGCAGGCUGAGGAGGAGCAGAGUCAUGCCCAGCAUGAUGAGAACAUCCAGUUGCUCCUCAGCGAGGCAAGAGAGAAUGAAGCGGCCUUGCAGCGGGAGGAGAUGGCCCAGAAUACUGCCUUCAACCAGUCAUUCCUGGGUGUGCUGGGGCAGCUGGGGUAGCUGGGGCAGGCAGUGGGCAGCCGGCGAGUGUGAGCGAUUCCACCUCCCAUAGACUUGAGAUUUACAAGUGCUGGUCAUAUAAUUAGAAUAUCAUGAAAAAGCUCGUCUUUUGGACAACUGUCAGUCUUCCCCAUGAUUGUGUAGCCUACAGAACUAGACUGAAAGACCAUUUAAAGGCCUUUGCAGAUGUUUUGAGUUAAUUAGCUGAUUAGAGAUGUCUUCAAUAUUGAACCUUUCCACAAUUUUCUAAUUUUCUGAGAUACCAAAUUAGGGAUUUUCGUUAGUAUUCAGGUAUAAUCAAAGUUAAGAGAAAUAAACAUCUGAAAUAUAUCAAUC